UGGGGUAUCGCCAAGCGGUAAGGCAAGGCACCGGAUUCUGAUUCCGGCAUUCCGAGGUUCGAAUCCUCGUACCCCAGCCA
rnacentral:tRNA from 1 species